ensembl:misc_RNA
AGGAUUGACAUUCUUAAAUCUCCCUUUUAUCCAUAGAAAAGAUAAAGCAUAGUCAGAAAAUAUGCAGGUUUCCUGACAUUUUCAGUCCAACAUGCCUUCAUUUGACCUGAAGGGACACCUCUGCAGGAGGGAAACGCAGUUUAGUCACCAUUCUCAUUUUAAUCCUUGGCCUCG